rnacentral:rRNA from 1 species
GAUGAACGCUGGCGGCGUGCCUAAUACAUGCAAGUCGAGCGAACAGACGAGGAGCUUGCUCCUCUGACGUUAGCGGCGGACGGGUGAGUAACACGUGGAUAACCUACCUAUAAGACUGGGAUAACUUCGGGAAACCGGAGCUAAUACCGGAUAAUAUAUUGAACCGCAUGGUUCAAUAGUGAAAGACGGUUUUGCUGUCACUUAUAGAUGGAUCCGCGCCGCAUUAGCUAGUUGGUAGGGUAACGGCUUACCAAGGCGACGAUGCGUAGCCGACCUGAGAGGGUGAUCGGCCACACUGGAACUGAGACACGGUCCAGACUCCUACGGGAGGCAGCAGUAGGGAAUCUUCCGCAAUAGGCGAAAGCCUGACGGAGCAACGCCGCGUGAGUGAUGAAGGUCUUCGGAUCGUAAAACUCUGUUAUUAGGGAAGAACAAAUGUGUAAGUAACUAUGCACGUCUUGACGGUACCUAAUCAGAAAGCCACGGCUAACUACGUG